rnacentral:rRNA from 1 species
CCUACGGGAGGCAGCAGUGGGGAAUAUUGGGCAAUGGGCGAAAGCCUGACCCAGCAACGCCGCGUGAAGGAAGAAGGCUUUCGGGUUGUAAACUUCUUUUGACAGGGAAGAGCAGAAGACGGUACCUGUCGAAUAAGCUACGGCAAACUACGGGCCAGCAGCGUCGGUAAUACGUAGGUGGCAAGCGUUGUCCGGAUAUACUGGGUGGAAAGGGCGUGUAGCCGGGCUGACAAGGUAGUUGUGAAAUCCGGGGGCUCAACCCCAGAACUGCAUAUGAAACUGUAAGUCUUGAGUAUCAGAGAGGCAGGCGGAAUUCCAGGUGUAGCGGUGAAAUGCGUAGAUAUAAGGAAGAACACCAGUGGCGAAGGCGGCCUGCUGGGCGAAUACUGACGGUGAGGCACGAAAGCGUGGGGAGCAAACAGGAUUAGAUACCCGAGUAGUC